GAAGCGGUAAAAGCUCAAAUUUGAAAUCUGGUACUUUCAGUGCCCGAGUUGUAAUUUGUAGAAUUUGUCUUUGAUUAGGUCCUUGUCUAUGUUCCUUGGAACAGGACGUCAUAGAGGGUGAGAAUCCCGUUUGGCGAGGAUACCUUUUCUCUGUAAGACUUUUUCGAAGAGUCGAGUUGUUUGGGAAUGCAGCUCAAAGUGGGUGGUAAAUUCCAUCUAAAGCUAAAUAUUGGCGAGAGACCGAUAGCGAACAAGUACAGUGAUGGAAAGAUGAAAAGAACUUUGAAAAGAGAGUGAAAAAGUACGUGAAAUUGUUGAAAGGGAAGGGCAUUUGAUCAGACAUGGUGUUUUUUGCAUGCACUCGCCUCUCGUGGGCUUGGGCCUCUCAAAAAUUUCACUGGGCCAACAUCAAUUCUGGCAGCAGGAUAAAUCAUUAAGAAUGUAGCUACUUUGGAAUUGUAAUACUUUUUGGGAACUGGUAGCCCGGGAUGGAGACCGGCCUUUCGCAAAGGAGGUGGCCUUAUGGGUAAAUGGCCCCCCGCCUG
rnacentral:rRNA from 1 species